rnacentral:rRNA from 1 species
UACAGAGGGGGCAAGCGUUGUUCGGAAUUACUGGGCGUAAAGGGCUCGUAGGCGGCCAACUAAGUCGGACGUGAAAUCCCUCAGCUUAACUGGGGAACUGCGUCUGAUACUGGAUGGCUUGGAUUUGGGAGAGGGAUGCGGAAUUCCAGGUGUAGCGGUGAAAUGCGUAGAUAUCUGGAGGAACACCGGUGGCGAAGGCGGCAUCCUGGACCAACAUUGACGCUGAGGAGCGAAAGCCAGGGGAGCAAACGGG